rnacentral:misc_RNA from 1 species
GUUAGCUCACCCAUCUACGCUGCACCCUCCCUUAGUACCACCUUUACAGACACACGCACACGCACGCACCACAGCCUUCACCAGUACUGUUGAAUUGCAAUCACCAUUAUAACAACAGGUCUACGAUGCUUCGCUAUCCCUCCCGCACGCUGCCCCACUUGUUGCCCGUGCGUAGCAGCAGUGGUGCGGUGAGGCAUCCAGUCCUCCUCACCCCUAGCCGCCGCUUCACGGAUAAAGUGCUGAUCGGCUCAUGCUCCUCGUUCUUCACAUGCUCGACGACGACCGGGCUCUUCCAUCUUCUGGUCACCCCUAUCAGCCCUUCCGUUGCCUUGGCAACGCUGGCGACCGCAGCAGCGAGCGGCGCCUUGUGCGUCGUCGACGGCGGCAGCUUGAACGGCACCACUUUUGGCGCCGUUGUCGGCAUUUUCGUUGGCGCCAUGGGGGGCUUCUACGCUAAGUCGCAGAAGGAGCCGUGGCGCAAGUAGUCAGUAGCCCCACAGACCCUCGUCAGUGGUGGCGUCGCCCUCCUCCUCCCCCCUGCGGCGCCGGGCACGCGUAUCUUUACAUGCUGAGGAAGAGGAAGAAGCACAAGAGAGGCGACUGUCGAGGAUGAGCGCUGCGGCGUGUGCGCGCCUCUCUUCAGCGAGACGCAUUGUGGGGUGGGCUCUGUGGCGAUGUGGGGCUUUUAGAAGUGGCCCGCUCGCACUGCACACAUCUAGCAGCUGCUCCCCCCCGCUCUCUCGCCUUUUCCUUCACAACUGUCGCUGUUUCUUCUUUGUCCUGUCCCCUCCACCUCCUCCGAUCCCAUAAGGGAGCGCUGAUCGACAUCACCAACACAAGACGAGGUUAGAGAAACAGAGCGGGCAUUGCCGCCUCGCACGUUGGCAAGGGUGGAGCUCGCAGAGCUGCGUGCGCGUCCUUGACUUCACGGGCGUGCACCGCACCGCCUUCAUUGACAGCCUCUGAUGUGCCUCUGCGCGUGUCUGUCGGCUCCACAUGACCAGCUGCGGUUAGGGGCGCCGGCAGUGUGCACGAAAGGGAGGCGAGCUGUGACACAAGCGC